GCAACUCCCAUAAAAGCAAACAAUGACGUUUCCAGAGCUGGCGUGUGGGGGCUAAUUCCAAACCACCAUCCAUUCCUGCCUGUGUCUCUCUGCCAUAUCCAUCCAAUUUUGAAUUGGUCCAAGAUGCCAUUUCAGUUCCAUCAUAUUCUCCAAAUCCCUCUUUCAUAUCUCAAUUUCUAGGGUUUCUGAACGUCUCUGGCUUUUCAAUAAUGGUUAGUUUCACCAAUUCUGCUGCUGUUUUACCUGAUACGGGUUCAAAUUCCAGCAUCAUGAUCAAAUGUACUUCAGUCGCCUCUUCUUCUUCUUCUUCUUCCUUGACUUAUGUUGUUUCUCGGCUUCCUGUGAAUUUUAAGCCGGUUAGUGUUAGUGUUUUUAACGUGGAUGAUCUCAAGGAAGUCGUUGAAUCCAAUCAAAAAGACCGCUUACGAAAGGCAAUAGAAGCUCGGUUAAUCAGUGAAAGAGUUUGAAGGGUGGAAAGAUUCUUUAGAGACAGUCCAAACUAUCAAGAAGUAUGCAGAACGAAUCAGGGCGAGCGAAAUGGAGAAGUGUUUGGCAAGAAUGGGUAGCAAUAUAUCCAAGAAAAGCUAGAAAGCGAUACAUAACAUGAUCUUAGCAAAGGAGUAGUAAACAAGCUCCUUCUGGGUCCAGUGCAGUUGCAGCAUCUGAGAUGUGAUGAAAACGAAGGCUGAUCGAUCUUAGAACGAGAUACUCGAAAAUAUGCACCAGUUGAACCGGAUUUUCGCUCUGGAUACGGUGUUGGAAGAAAAGAUCCGAUCCAAGAUGGAGAAAUCCCAGGCAGGGAGGUGCAAGUGGAGACUUGUAACAAUUUGGGGCCCAAUUUAUAGACUAUAAACAAAUCCAACAAGGCUUCUUUCUAUUCGUUCGUUUAAGUUAACAGCAUAAAUAGAUAUAUACGAACGGUAAACAAACAGAUUUUUUUGCGUUCAUGUUUGUUUGUUAAGAAAAUGUGUUUGUUCGUUAAGAUGUUAAAUGAACGAAUUUGUUGAAAAC